rnacentral:rRNA from 1 species
CCUACGGGAGGCAGCAGUAGGGAAUCUUCCGCAAUGGACGAAAGUCUGACGGAGCAACGCCGCGUGAACGAUGAAGGCCUUCGGGUCGUAAAGUUCUGUUGUUAGGGAAGAACAAGUGCUAGUUAAAUAAGCUGGCACCUUGACGGUACCUAACCAGAAAGCCACGGCUAACUCCGUGCCAGCAGCCGCGGUAAUACGUAGGUGGCAAGCGUUGUCCGGAAUUAUUGGGCGUAAAGCGCGCGCAGGCGGUUUCUUAAGUCUGAUGUGAAAGCCCCCGGCUCAACCGGGGAGGGUCAUUGGAAACUGGGAAACUUGAGUGCAGAAGAGGAAAGUGGAAUUCCAAGUGUAGCGGUGAAAUGCGUAGAGAUUUGGAGGAACACCAGUGGCGAAGGCGACUUUCUGGUCUGUAACUGACGCUGAGGCGCGAAAGCGUGGGGAGCAAACAGGAUUAGAUACCCUGGUAGUCCACGCUGUAAACGAUGAGUGCUAAGUGUUAGAGGGUUUCCGCCCUUUAGUGCUGAAGUUACGCAUUAAGCACUCCGCCUGGGGAGUACGGUCGCAAGACUGAAACUCAAAGGAAUUGACGG